rnacentral:lncRNA from 1 species
AUUGUGUCAUCCCUUUGGGUUCUAGAACAGUCUGUGCUCUGCUGCCACCAUUUACUUUAAACCUCAAAUACUCAAAUGCUUGAGUCAGACUCCUUCAGAAAAAUCUGAGCACAUCCAGAAAGUAAGAUUUCUUUUCAUUGUCAGCAAAAUGAUUACAAAAUUUAACUGAAGACUGUUUUGUAAGACAACCAAAUGACCUUCAGGACCAACAAUGUAAUGAGUACACAUGAAGAUUCAUGAGUAUACAUCAGGUUAUGUUCUGACACAGGGUAUGAGUGCAACAUCAUUUUGAGCUUGAGGGCAGAGUGCAUCAGCAGAAGAGGAUCACAGUUACUUCCUAUCCUACCAUUAAUCUAACGGAUAUUGGGAAUCUGAGUAUCCAGAGUGGGUUGCUUUGGCAAAAGUCUGAAAGCAUAUGGAAGGAGUGGAGUAAAAUAUUUAGUAGAAGUCAGGAAGAUGUGGGGAUGGUUUUCAUAAAG